ACUACGGGACGCAGCAGUGAGGAAUAUUGGUCAAUGGGCGAGAGCCUGAACCAGCCAAGUCGCGUGAAGGAUGACGGCCCUACGGGUAGUAAACUUCUUUGGUAAGGGAGCAAUAGGGUCCACGUGAGGGCUUAGCGAGAGUACCUGAAGAAAAAGCAUCGGCUAACUCCGUGCCAGCAGCCGCGGUAAUACGGAGGAUGCGAGCGUUAUCCGGAUUUAUUGGGUUUAAAGGGUGCGUAGGCGGAAUAUCAAGUCAGCGGUAAAAAUUCGGGGCUCAACCCCGUCGUGCCGUUGUAACUGAUGUU
rnacentral:rRNA from 1 species